ensembl:lncRNA
GUCCCCGUGCUCCUGUGGGGGGCACGGCUCCCGCAGUGCCUGGAUGAGGGAAGGUCGUGUAGGCAACGCAUGUCCACUUGUCAAGGGCCCGAAAUCAGCCGGUGCUUUCCCACAGGUGGGUGAAUAGCUGUCAGGAAUAGCACGGAUUUCGGCAGGAUGCUAGGAAAAGCUCUGCUUUAAACAGAGGAUCGCCAUACACCUCAGCGUUGCAGGAUCAGGCUCCAAGUGACAAGUGCCAAGGAAGAUAAAGGCUCCGCUGCACUUUCCUGCUGGAGAAGUGUGUGGGUUUCAUGUCCAGCUUUCUGCCUGCAGCACCUGUUCAGGGCUGGGAGAAGAGGCUGCCUGCAUGCCCAUGGUGAGGCUGCUCCCUUCCAGCUGUGGCUCAGAAGGGCCUUCCUUGGCCGGUGCUGCCCUGGCUUGGGACAUGGCUGCCAGGCAUCACAACACCCUUGCAUGACUCCCAGAAGAUGUGAUGACCUCCCUGUGGUGGCACUUGACUGCUCCUUGUCAUCAGAGCUCCUGUGGAGCCCAAGAGGCCACUGGACAGGUAGAGACCACAGAAUUUUGGGCAUCCAAGCAGUCAGAGACCAAGCAGGAUGAGGCAUGAGGAGCCUUUGCUCACUGUGUGCACUUGGGAGAGAAUAUACAGGGAUGACUUCAAAUGUCAGCAAUCAAUGAACACGUUGAUUGGAUUUAAUUGGCUCUUGUGUCCCACAGAGCUCUCUGCCCUGCUGUUGGACUGGGACCCUAAUUACAGCAGGUACCUCUGAUGUGGUGUGGCUGCCUUUCCACUGCUGCCCUCCUCCUUCAUGUGCUGCCCUUGUGAGGCUGGGGGCAAGCAGUGCUGCCCAGAAAAGGAGGACCGAGUGUUUGUGUUAUUAUCAGGCAGCUACCCAGAGCUGGUUUUUCUUAUUUGCCAUGUUCCAGAGCCUACUGUGCUCUCUCUGCCUGUGAAAGAUUUUUGUGUUGGAAAAAGUUAAAAAACCCUUCAUCCAGCUGUUUUUAGUAGUAAGUGCAGCUGUUUUUGCUGUUGUUCUCGCUUUGCUUGGUGAUGAUGCUGUAAGAGAGGAGCAUUGCACAUUGAAGCGCAGUCACCUGUUUGCCCUCAGCGAGCCAAGCACGUCACCCAGUACAAGAGGGUUUUAUUACAUGCAUUCAUUUACUGGCAUACCCCAGGCAGAUCCAUACCCACAUGCCUGUGCUAAAUCAGUCAAAGGCAGCACCCACACCUCAGUGGAACGCUGCAGAGCAUGAAUGUACAGGGUGGGCACAUAGAGCCUGUUGUGCCAAAGGGGCACACACUGGCAUGCCUGCUAGGAACAAAGGAGCCUGACGAGUACUAACCCCGUGUCAGAUCUUCAGAGACUGUUCCGAUGUCAUUUAAAAUUUCUAGCAUUGGGAGUUUUUUUUCUCAUCAUCAAUUCUCAUCAAUUUACCUCCCAGGAGUCCACCACUCCUGUGUCUUGUGGUUCAGGCUCCAAGUCUGUGUCUGCUUGGUAUAUUAGUGAAGAUGUUUUUCAUGUAUUGGACACUGGAGGGUGCUAAUGCAAUGGGAGCUGAAAUUGUUGUAGCAAAUUAAAGGGUUCCCUUUUGUUAGUUGUGAAAUAGUUUUAUUCUUUGUUGCAGGUUUUAAGUGGAAAGACAUGAAUUGUGGUCCUUACCAGUAGCUGAUCCUGUUCAGCGUGUGCAGAGCUGUGACCAAGAAUAUCAAUAAAGUGUUAUGUCUGUGAGGGAUUUCUUUCCUU